ACCCUUUUUUGUUACGAUGACAAUACUGCUCUUUGAGAUUUUCACCUCAUGCAAUAUCAGCUGCUAGACUCAGGACCCAAAUAUAUUUCUAAGCUCCGUAAGAUUUUAAUCUCAAGAACUUCCCAUCUCUUUGGUACCCACAAUUCAACAUGACAUCGACCUCACUUCAUCCAUACUUUUGACAAAAGUUCAUUGCAAUUAUGAUAGAUGGUAAGUUCCUACUCGCUUAUCUCUCUCUCUCUCUCCAAACCAUGUGAUGCAUGAGGUUUG
rnacentral:lncRNA from 1 species